GCCCACAGCAUAAUGCUAGGCAAUGUCCAGCCGUUCCACCCGGCAUACAAGCUUAUGGAGCAGCCCCCUUUGAAGAUCUCCAGGUGGACUUCACAGAGAUGUCAAAGUGUAGAGGUGAUCGAGUGUGGAUCAAGAACUGGAACGUAGCCUCUUUGUGUCCACUGUGGAAAGGACCCCAGACUGUCGUUCUGAGCCCUCCCACCGCUGUGAAGGUAGAAGGAAUCCCAGCCUGGAUCCACCACAGCCAUGUAAAACCUGCAGCGCGUGAAACCUGGGAGGCAAGACCAAGCCCAGACAACCCUUUCAGAGUGACCCUGAAGAAGACGACAAGCCCUGCUCCAGUCACACCCGGAAGCUGACUGGUCCACGCACGGCCGAAGCCUGAGGAAGCUCAUCGUGAGAUUCAUUUUUCUUAAAUUUUGGACUUAUACAGUAAGGGCUUCAACUGAUCUUACUCAAACUGGGGACUGUUCCCAGUGUAUUCAUCAGGUCACCGAAGUAGGACAGCAAAUUAAAACAAUCUUUCUGUUCUAUAGUUAUUAUGAAUGUGUGGAAACAAUAAAAGAAACUUGUUUGUAUAAUGCCACUCAGUGCAAGGUAUGUAGCCCGAGAAAUGACCGACCUGAUGCGUGUUAUAACCCAUCUGAGCCCUCCGCAACCACCGUUUUUGAAAUAAGAAUAAGAACUGGCCUUUUCCUAGGUGAUACAAGUAAAAUAAUAACUAGAACAGAAGAAAAAGAAAUUCCCAAGCAAAUAACUUUAAGAUUUGAUGCUUGUGCAGCCAUUAAUAGUAAAAAGCUAGAAAUAGGAUGUGGUUCUCUUAACUGAGAAAGGAGCUAAAGAGUAGAAAAUAAAUAUGUUUGUCAUGAGUCAGGGGUUUGUAAAAAUUGUGCCUAUUGGCCAUGUGUUAUUUAGGCUACUUAAAAAAAGAACAAAAAGGAACCGGUUUAUCUUCAGAAGGGGGAAGCCAACCCCUCCUGUGCUGCCAGUCACUGUAACCCACUAGAACUAAUAAUUACCAAUCCCCUAGAUCCCCGUUGGAAAAAGGGAGAACGUGUAACCCUGGGGAUCAAUAGGACAGGGUUAAACCCUCAAGUUGCCAUUGUAAUUAGAGGGGAGGUCCACAAGUGCUCUCCCAAACCAGUAUUUCAAACCUUUUAUGAGGAGCUGAAUGUGCCAGCACCAGAACUUCUGAAAAAGACAAAAAAUUUGUUUCUCCAAUUAGCAGAAAAUGUAUGUUACUUCUUGUUAUGUACGCGGAGGAACCACUAUCGGAGACAGAUGGCCUUGGGAAGCCCAAGAGUUGGUGCCUACUGAUCCAGCUCCUGAUAUAAUUCCAGUUCAGAAGGCCGAAGCUAGCAACUUCUAGGUCCUAAAAACCUCAAUUAUUAGACAAUACUGUAGAGCUAGAGAAGGGAAAGACUUUAUCAUCCCUGUAGGAAAGCUUAAUUGUAUAGGACAGAAGUUGUAUAACAGCACAAUACAGACAAUUACUUAGUAGGGCCUAAACCACACUGAAAAGAAUCCAUUUAGUAAAUUUUCUAAAUUAAAAACUGCUUAGGCUCAUCCAGAAUCUCAUCAGGACUGGACGGUUCCCGCUGGACUAUACUAGAUAUGUAGGCACAGAGCCUACAUUCGGUUACCUAAUAAAUGGGCAGGCAGUUGUGUUAUUGACACUAUUAAGCCAUCCUUUUUCUUAUUACCCAUAAAAACGGGUGAGCUCCUAGGUUUCCCUGUCUACGCCGCCCGAGAAAAGAAAGGCAUAGUUAUAGGAAACUGGAAGGAGAAUGAGUGGCCCCCUGAAAGGAUCAUUCAGUAUUAUGGGCCUGCCACAUGGGCACAAGACGGCUCAUGGGGAUACCGAACCCCCAUCUACAUGCUCAAUUGGAUCAUACGGUUGCAGGCCAUCUUAGAAAUAAUUACUAAUGAAACUGGCAGAGCUUUGACUGUUUUAGCUUGGCAAGAAACCCAAAUGAGGAAUGCUAUCUAUCAGAAUAGACUGGCCUUAGACUACUUGCUAGUAGCUGAAGGAGGAGUUUGUGGAAAAUUUAACUUAACCAAUUGCUGCCUACAAAUAAAUGAUCAAGGACAGGUGGUUAAAAACAUAGUCAGGGACAUGACAAAGGUGGCACAUGUGCCUGUACAGGUUUGGCACGAGUUUAAUCCUGAGUCUUUAUUUGAAAAAUGGUUUCCAGCUAUAGCAGGAUUUAAAACCCUCAUUGUAGGUGUAUUGCUAGUGAUAGGAGCUUGCUUGCUGCUCCCCUGUGUAUUACCCUUGCUUUUUCAAAUGAUAAAAGGUUUUGUAGCUACUUUGGUUCAUCAGAAAACUUCAGCACACGUGUGUUAUAUGAAUCAGUAUCGCUCUAUCUCACCAAUAGACUCAAAAAGUAAAGAUGAGAGUGAGAACUCCCACUAAAAAGUGAAAAUGCUCAAAGGGGGGAAAUAUGGUGUGAGACCACCACGUCUCCUGUUGUCCUUCCCAGUUUCUCCCCAACCUCCCCUUUUCCCUAGUUUGUAAGACAGCAAAAAAGGGAGAAAGCAAAAAGUUGGAAAAAACAGAAGUAAAAUAAAUAGCCAGAUGACCUUGGCGCCACCACCUGGCCCUGGUGGUUAAAAUGACAAUAAUAUUAACCCCUGACCAAAACUACAGGUGUUAUCUGUAAAUCCCAGACAUUGUAUGAGAAAGCACUGUAAAAACUUUUUGUUCUGUUAGCUGAAGU
rnacentral:lncRNA from 1 species